rnacentral:rRNA from 1 species
UACGUAGGUGACAAGCGUUGUCCGGAUUUACUGGGCGUAAAGAGCGCGCAGGCGGUCGAUCAAGUCGAGUGUGAAAGCCCCCGGCUCAACUGGGGAGGGUCAUUCGAAACUGGUCGACUCGAAGGCAGGAGAGGGUAGUGGAAUUCCCGGUGUAGUGGUGAAAUGCGUAGAUAUCGGGAGGAACACCAGUGGCGAAGGCGGACUACCUGGCCCUGUUCUGACGCUGAGGCGCGAAAGCUAGGGGAGCAAACGGGG